UCCUAUGAGCACAAGGAACUGAGUUCAGUCAACAACCUGAAUCAAUCUGAAACAACCCAAAAGAGGAUUCUUUCCCAGAACCUCCAGAAAAUGAACACAGUCCUACUGAUUUCCUUAAUUUAGUAAUGAAAUUAGAGUUUAUAUAUGGAAAUUAUGUACAUAACAUGGCUGUAGAAGCCACCAAAGUGAGUAGAUUGCCCUGAAUGAAGAGAGAACAGAAGAGAGAACAGAAUUUAGAGGAAGAUUUACCAAACCACCAGAAAAAGAUCCAACAGAAAGACUGAUAAAUUCUGACCAGAAAGACAAGAUCUGAGAAGGACAAUGUCUUAGAGUCCAGCUGCUGAAAACGUAUCAGGUCUGUGAUUUCUGACAAUUUUACUCAUGUAACCACCAUCUUAACCAAAAGGCAGAAGAAGUCCGUCACCAUCUCACAUCCUCCAACCCCCAAAUAUCCUUCUGCUAUUGCUUUGUAGUUGAUCCCUCCCCACACUCUUAAUAUAUUCAUCUUAUAGUUCUACAUUUUACAGAAUGAAACCGAUAAAUGUGUGCCUUUUUGAACCUACCUUCUUUUACUUCAUAUAAUACAUGUUAAAUUCUCCCAUGUUGCUUUAUGUAUUAAUAAUUCAUUUCUUUUUAUUCCUGAAUAGUAUUCUAUUUUAUAGAUAUCCACUGUUAUUCUAUCCUUCCCUCAAUUGAGGAAUGUUUUGGUUGUUUCCAGUUUGGGCGACCGUGAAUAAAGCUGUUACAAAUA